ACCCACGUGACGGAAUUGGUAGACGUGCUAGGUUGAGGGCCUAGUGUCCUUCAUUGGACGUGCUGGUUCGACUCCAGUCGUGGGUA
rnacentral:tRNA from 1 species